GGGCCUCGCCGCUGCGUAAGGAGACGUGGAAUCGUUCCGCGGUGCUGGCUGGGACCAGAGGCGGGGAGCAAGUGCGAGACAUUUCAGAGACGAAAGACGGGGCUCGAUGAAUGACUGGUACGAGCACGCAGGAUGAGUCAGAGAUGACUUGGAGGUUGCCAGCUGGGGCGAGGGAACAAACUCGCUGCCUGCCGAGGAGAGGAAGGCGCGAGGCUGAAGGCGAAGACGCGCGGUCCGGCUGUGCGCGCGCGGCGUGGCAUUGUGCUAAGUUGCUAUGGUCCGGAGCCUCAGUUUCCUCAUCUGCGAAAUGAAGAAGACAGCAUCGGUGUAACCGGGGGAUUGCGGUGUCCGAAUGACUUAAGCCUGUGAAAUGUCCAGGGACAUGCGUGGCGCCUGGUUCUUCCUGUGGCCAGCUUCUACUCAUUCUCUCAGGAAAUCUUACCCCGAAGCAUUAACAGCAACAGCUCUGGAGCCGGUCAUCUGGGUUCAGAUCCACGUUCUGCCUCCUUGAGCAAGGCAAAGGCUCUGUGUGGCACAGCGGACGGAGGGUCGUGAGGAUUGAACGAGCUGGUGCACGUAGUCUCAGAAUGAUGCUUCACCCACGGAAGUGUGUGUAAGAGUUAGCUAUUAUUAUUAGUCAACAAUAAUACGUCACCUCCCGUUAGAAUGAAUAGUCCCCCACCCACCCCAGUCAUUCUCUCCCCUCACCACUGUCCGAAACUGUAUUAUUGAUUUGUUUGCUUGUUUACUGUUUCCCUCCC